UACGGAUGGGGCUAGCUGUGUUCGGAAUUACUGGGCGUAAAGCGCGCGUAGGCGGACCUGCAAGUCGGGGGUGAAAGCCCGAGGCUCAACCUCGGAACUGCCUUCGAUACUGCGGGUCUCGAGUCCGGGAGAGGUGAGUGGAAUUCCUAGUGUAGAGGUGAAAUUCGUAGAUAUUAGGAAGAACACCAGUGGCGAAGGCGGUUCACUGGCCCGGUACUGACGCUGAGGUGCGAAAGCGUGGGGAGCAAACAGG
rnacentral:rRNA from 1 species